rnacentral:snoRNA from 1 species
CCGGCGGCACACGGGGCGUGCGCUGGACACCGGGUUCCGCCACGCUGACAGAUGACCGGCCCAGACAU